AAUGGGCUGCGGGUAUCCCUGGUUGUUGAUCUGGAGGGGAGAAUGACUGUGUCUCGCCGACCAUCACGUCCGAGCCUCUAGAAAGACACCAGGGAUUGAGAUUAUACCGCUAGAACCUGAACAGUGCUCAUACCUGCGUAGGGAAGCCCACCAGUGUCGCU
rnacentral:ncRNA from 1 species